GUAGGUAAUAUAUUGUCCAUGAAUAUUGACAACCCCAUACAGCAACUUGGUGGAAUGGUUUCAAAAUACCAUACAAAACGUAUCAUUGUUUGUAACCAUUUUAUUGUGAUCAUGAUCAUGGUUGAAUCUCCGUGAAAUAAAUUUUAUUUUGGGUCCCUAGAUUGCUCUGUGGUGUGGUGUGCUGCUGAUGCUCUAGCGUAAAUAUGUGUGCUUCAUAAUUUUCUAAACCUUGCACAGAGGUGUAACUCAUCUCCAGGACAAAAAUGCUUUCCAACUGUCCACAGCCGACACUACAUCCUGUCUCGAGUGCAACAACAGGUUAAACUCAAUUUUUUUCAGAGGAAAGACAAGGGGCUUUGAUGCAAUUGACCCUUCUCUAGAAAGGGAUAGUGAUUGCAUCGCCUGAUUAAUUUCCUAGAGACGUUCUUGCAUUUGUCCAUGGGUAAACACUCCAAGAUGACAUGGUCCAUGGACGAGCAUUACCGGGUACUGGAGGUC